GGUUUCACCAUGUUGGCCAGGAUGGUCUCGAUCUAUUGACCUCGUGAUCCAUCCGCCUUGGCCUCCCAAAGUGCUGGGAUUACAGGCGUGAGCCACUGCGCCCGGCCCCCAAUUUUGUUUUUAAUGGGAGAAGGAUCAAAUGAAUCAAUCUUGUGUCUGUUUCCCUUAGGAAACUUGACAAGUUUGGAGGACAGGACGUCUACCUUCUUCCUGUCUGCAAAGUCUCUGGCCUUCCUCCACAUCUACUGACAUUUUUUAAAUUGUAUCAUACCUAACAUUCUUACCAAAUUAUUUCAGUACCAAAUCUGGGUUUGUAAUAUCUGUAUCUAUAUCUAGUGUAUGUACCUAUACAGUUAGCAUCUGCGAUUAUUCAAUUGGUCUGAUUCCCCCAUCAGGCUCUGGGCUGUGACUGAGAGUGGCCUUGCCUUAGUAUACGGGUGUCACUCAGAUGGACCAAGCAGCAGCCAAGUCUCCAGGAGCUCCAGUGACUCAGAGGCCUGGAGUCUCUUCUGUAGCUACAGGGUUCCCACUUUCAUGAGCAGAGAUUAUGCAAAGGUGACCUCUACUGACCAAAGGAAGAAACGGCCGUUAUACAUUCCCUGUUCCUUCUAGUUCUGCAAAAUGACUGACAUAGUCACUGCUGUUG
rnacentral:lncRNA from 1 species